rnacentral:rRNA from 1 species
GACGAACGCUGGCGGCGUGCUUAACACAUGCAAGUCGAACGGUGAAGGGACCGGUUUUUGCUGGUUCUGGAUGAGUGGCGAACGGGUGAGUAACACGUGAGUAACCUGCCCCCUUCUUCUGGAUAACCGCAUGAAAGUGUGGCUAAUACGGGAUAUUCUGCGCCUGCUGCAUGGUGGGUGUGGGAAAGAUAUUGUUUCGGUGGGGGAUGGGCUCGCGGCCUGUCAGCUUGUUGGUGGGGUGGUGGCCUACCAAGGCGGUGACGGGUAGCCGGCGUGAGAGGGUGGACGGGCACACGGGGAGUGAGACACGGCCGGGACUAGUAAGGGAGGCAGCAGUGAGGAAUAGUGGACGAGGGGCGCAUGGCUGAAGCAGCGACGCCGCGAGAGGGAUGGAGGCCUUCGGGGUGUAAACCUCUUGCGUCAUAGAAGCAUGUCGGUCCCUUUUGUGCGUGGGUUGACGGUAGCUGGAGAAGAAGCGCCGGCUAACUACGUG